UACGUAAAGUAUUUCAAAGGCUACCCAGAG
rnacentral:piRNA from 1 species